AUCGCUGGAAGUGGGUAUGUCUCAAGCUUCUUCCACUUGGUCCACUCCAAAGCGGGCUGCAAAGGGGAAGAAGUGGAAGCAGUUGAAUGACACAUGUUGCAUUUUGUAACUGGCAACAAAGUACCAGGUAAAAAAGAUUGUGAAGCCUGCCUCCAUAAAGAACUAGUAGCUCUACAGGACAGAGAUUGGCUUGCCAUCAAGUACUACAUCCAUAACAGAAUUAUAUUAAAAAAAGGGAAAAAAAAUGUUUUCCCACAUCUUCUGUGGUAGUUUGAGUAUGUUACCAGCAAUUAAAAAAGCAAAAUAAACAGCAA